UAUUUAAAGUUAAGUAUGUCUAUGCUUCUAUGGUUACAUAAGGAGUCUGCUUUUAUAGUAGUGGAUAAAUGCCUCUACGCAUCUAUGCUUGGAGACAUAAAUCCUACAAACCUGAGUCUUCUUCCUAUUUCACUAUUUCUGAAAUAUACACAUAAUGAGCUCCACAUGCUGAGUAAGCAAAAUUUAAAACUCACACCGACGAAUAGAAAACAUUAUCACUAUCAUGGAAUGUUCAUGUUCAAAAAUUUAAGCUUCUUAUUAUUGGAUAGUAAAUUUAGAAGUAAUUUACAUGUAGCUUCACAAUAUUGUGAUUAAUAUAAAAAAAGGAUGAAGAGAAUUAUUAUCCAGUUGAUUGUGGUAAAGGAAAGUGAAAUUCAAUUACCAUUUUGUUUCAACCCUGGGAGAAUGAUGCAGGAGCAAAGUAGGGACACUCCUAGAGGAUGAGUCUCACAUGAAUAGGAU
rnacentral:lncRNA from 1 species